CGCGUUUGCUGCACUCGCCGUCCUGCCCCGUAGGACUGGAGCCCGGGAGCAGAUUCUCCGGCCCCCAAGGGCCAGGGCUCAAAGCCACGGGGCAGUUGCCUCAGGGGCGCCAACCGGGGGCCUCUCCAGGUGGCUCUGGAAAGUGCCUUGGAACCCACCCCCGGCAGGGCACCGGACACAGGCCAGCAGGCGCCGGCAGCACUUCUGCAAGUUACCGCAGCAGUAUCCAGACCAUUACAUGGACAGUGCGUGAUUCAGGACCAAGAGAGAUUUCCGGGAAAGAUGACUCGGCAGCUUUGUGUGGACAGUUUUUCCCAGCGGACCACCACUCCCCAUCUCUGUGAGGUCCAGGCCUCCUCUCCUGCCCUUUCCAUUGGAUGAGUCUGCAGCAGCCCCUGGGGACCGGACCACCUGCUUCAGGACCAUAGGACUCCUUUCGCCACAAGAGGUCAUGGUUCCCAACCUGCACUCACAGGCAUUGGGCGGUAACUUCUGCUUGGUGACACCCCAAAAUGGCCGACGUGAUUUCAUCUCCAAGUGAUAAUCAGUCCAACAGAAAGCUUCUUGGGUAAUAAAGGCUGAGGAAUAGCUACAAAAUAAAUGUGACUGGAGCAACCCAC
ensembl:lncRNA